rnacentral:lncRNA from 1 species
UCUCUAUUUUCAGACUUGGGCAAACUCUACUCCUCAACUCAUGGAACAAUCUCAGUAUUGAUCUAUGCAUGACCAGUGCAAAAGCUUUUAUAUGGACCAAUCCCAGUCAGAAAGCAGGCACUUGGAAACCUCAUGUCUGUGAAGAACAAGGGGUGGAACCUCUGAAAUCCUCCCCUUUGAGACUUCCUGUGCAUUCACACAUCCUUCUGUGUGCCUUGAAAAUGUAAGAAACAGAUGUGGGCAAGAGGCAGCCAGAAGUCUCCGGCACAGGCCCUGCAACCUAUCUGCUCGCAUCCUGCUUGUGAGACAUGUCAGCGAUAAACUCCAGGAGUAGUCACAAGGGGUGACAGUGGUUACUGCCUGGCUCUGCAUCCAGCAGCCUGGUGGAGCCUAGGCUAAGUCUACAAAAAUACGGAGCUCAGAGCUCCUACCUAGAUGUUUUUGCACAUCCAACAGCCUGGUGGAGCCUAAGCUAAGUCUACAAAUAUAUGGAGCUCAGAGCUCCUACCUAGAUUUCUUUGCUUUAUUCAGGCAGAAUUGACAAAUUAGAAGGCAUGUAUUUAA